rnacentral:rRNA from 1 species
UACAGAGGUCUCAAGCGUUUGUUCGGAUUCAUUGGGCGUAAAGGGUGUGUAGGUGGCGCGCUAAGUCGGGUGUGAAAUUUCGGAGCUUAACUCCGAAACUGCAUUCGAUACUGGCGUGCUUGAGGACUGGAGAGGAGACUGGAAUUUACGGUGUAGCAGUGAAAUGCGUAGAUAUCGUAAGGAAGACCAGUGGCGAAGGCGGGUCUCUGGACAGUUCCUGACACUGAGACACGAAGGCCAGGGGAGCAAAACGGG